rnacentral:rRNA from 1 species
GAAAGUAAUGAAGGGCGUACGGUGGAUGCCUAGGCUCUUACAGGCGAUGAAGGACGUGAUAAGCUGCGAAAAGCCGCGGUGAGGCGCAAAUGGCCCUUGACCCGCGGAUCUCCGAAUGGGACAACCCAAUAUCUUGAAGAGAUAUUAUCCCGCCGAUGCGGGAGGCGAACGCGGGGAACUGAAACAUCUUAGUACCCGCAGGAAAAGAAAAUAAAGAAUGAUUCCCCCAGUAGUGGCGAGCGACCGGGGAACAGCCCAAACCGACGUUGUCUCGGCAUCGUCGGGGUUGUAGGACCGCGCCAUCGCAAGAAAGGCCGUGAGUGGAAGCGACUGGAAAGCCGCGCCAUAGAGGGUGACAGCCCCUUACACGAAGCAGCCCGAAGCGUAGCGGACUCCUGAGUAGCGCGGGACACGAGUAAUCCUGUGUGAAUCCGCCGGGCCCAUCCGGCAAGGCUAAAUACUCGUAAGAGACCGAUAGUGAACCAGUACCGUGAGGGAAAGGUGAAAAGUACCCCUUGCAGGGGAGUGAAAGAGUUCCUGAAACCGUACGCCUACAAGCGGUCGGAGCAUCUUGAAUGAUGUGACGGCGUGCCUUUUGCAUAAUGAACCUACGAGUUGCCGUCACCAGCGAGGUUAAGUGCGAUGACGCACCGAGCCGCAGCGGAAGCGAGUCUUAAAAGGGCGCAAUAGUUGGUGGAGGCAGACGCGAAACCGAGUGAUCUACACUUGUCCAGGAUGAAGUCCCGGUAACACGGGAUGGAGGUCCGCACCAAUAAGCGUUGAAAAGCUUCUGGAUGAGGUGAGUGUAGGAGUGAAAGGCCAAUCAAACUCGGAGAUAGCUCGUACUCCCCGAAAGGCAUUUAGGUGCCGCCUGUGGCGUUCCCGACGUGAGGUAGAGCGACUGAUAGGAUGCGAGGGCUUCACCGCCUAUCAAGUCCUGACAAACUCCGAAUGCACGUCGGCCAAGCCAUGGAGUAAGGGCAUGGGUGCUAAGGUCCGUGCCCGAGAGGAGAAGAAUCCAGACCACCGGCUAAGGUCCCGAAAUACUGGUUAAGUUAGACUAACGCAGUCCGGCCCCCAAGACAGCUAGGAUGUUGGCUUGGAAGCAGCCAUUCAUUCAAAGAGUGCGUAACAGCUCACUAGUCGAGGAGCUGGGCGUGGAUAAUAAUCGGGUAUGAAACCAGUUACCGAAGCCGUGGGAUGCUUAAGCAUCGGUAGGGGAGCAUUGCAUGCGGCUUAGAAGGCGGGGCGCGAGCCCCUCUGGAGCGCAUGGAAACGCAAAUGUAGGUAUAAGUAACGACAAGGGGGGUGGGAUGCCCCCCCGCCGAAAGACCAAGGUUUCCUGAACAACGCUAAUCGGUUCAGGGUCAGUCGGGUCCUAAGCAUAAGCCGUAUGGCGAGGGCGAUGGACGAAACGGUUAAUAUUCCGUUACUGUCUUGGUGUGUGACGCGGCGACGGAGUAGUGACACGGCCGCCUCCUGACGGAAAAGGGGGUUGAAGCGCAAAGGUGUCGAGGAAGGCAGGCAAAUCCACCUUCCGAGCCGAAGCGCGAAAGUACGCCGGGCCCUUUGGGGCAAGGCGAUAGUGCCGGUAAUCAGACUUCCAAGAAAACCCGCUAAACUUCAGCACCAAGUCACCCGUACUCUAAACGGACACACGUGGUCGGGUAGAAUAUACUAAGGCGCUUGGGAGAUUCACGGUUAAGGAACUAGGCAAAUUGACCCCGUACCUUCGGAAUAAGGGGUCCUCGCUUUUGCGAGGCGCAGAGAAUAGGUCCAGGCAACUGUUUAACAAAAACACAGGGCUGUGCAAAUUUGAAAGAAGAAGUAUACAGCCUGACACCUGCCCGGUGCCGGAAGGUUAAGAGGAGAGCUCAUCAGCGAUGAGAAGGCUUGAAUUGAAGCCCCGGUAAACGGCGGCCGUAACUAUAACGGUCCUAAGGUAGCGAAAUUCCUUGUCGGGUAAGUUC